UGGUUUUACACAAGUAAUUUUAGGGCCCUUUGUAGCUUGUUGUUCGGUGUGAGCCAAGGCUCCGUGUUGAAGGCCGUGUAUUGACCUAUAAUGGUUUACUUUUUUAAAUUGUUAUUUGGAUGGAGAGUUGUCUCAUUGGCACUCACACCACAUCUUCCUAUAUCUAUCUAUAAAUUGUAUCUGUUGUAUCCUUUAUCUCUAGUUCGAUAGGUUAUAUGCGUUCU
rnacentral:lncRNA from 1 species